AUGGCUUCUUCCGGUUCCGUGACAAGGCCACCGUGUGCUAACCGCGAGGACAUGCCGGACAAGUGGACAGACGCCGAGUUGGAUAAGGUGAAGUACAAAGAUAUGAGAACUCCAUCAUGUUGGUGUGGAGAUGUUUGCAAAGUUAUGGCAUCCACCGAUCGCAAGAAAUCAUGGACGGAAGGAAGAAGAUUUUUUGUUUGUCCCAACUAUGCCUACGAUCGUCCUCGUCCAGCUCACGCCUAUGAUGUACCGCCGGUAAGUUGUUCAAGUUCAAAGAGUAUUCAACCAUUGCUACAACUUGAACCUAUCUUACUAAGGACCACAUCUAUUCUUUAUUCGUACGUAGUCGCCGCCUCCACUUUGUAA
rnacentral:rRNA from 1 species